CGGACGGGUGAGUAACGCGUGGGUAACCUGCCUCACACAGGGGGAUAACAGUUGGAAACGGCUGCUAAUACCGCAUAAGCGCACAGUACCGCAUGGUACAGUGUGAAAAACUCCGGUGGUGUGAGAUGGACCCGCGUCUGAUUAGCUAGUUGGCAGGGCAACGGCCUACCAAGGCGACGAUCAGUAGCCGACCUGAGAGGGUGACCGGCCACAUUGGGACUGAGACACGGCCCAAACUCCUACGGGAGGCAGCAUG
rnacentral:rRNA from 1 species